rfam:Gossypium raimondii chromosome 9, whole genome shotgun sequence.
ACUUAGUGGUGAGGGCACUAUUUUUGCAUAUCCUUGAACCAUUCAUAUGCCUCAUGUAAAGUUUCCUCCUCAUACUGUUGGCAAAUAGUGAUAUCAUUUUUUAAUUU